rnacentral:rRNA from 1 species
CAGUAGCCACGGUAAUACGAAGGGUGCAAGCGUUAAUCGGGAUUACUGGGCGUAAAGCGCACGCAGGCGGUUUGUUAAGUCAGAUGUGAAAUCCCCGAGCUUAACCUGGGAACUGCAUUUGAAACUGGCAGGCUAGAGUCUUGUAGAGGGGGGUAGAAUUCCAGGUGUAGCGGUGAAAUGCGUAGAGAUCUGGAGGAAUACCGGUGGCGAAGGCGGCCCCCUGGACAAAGACUGACGCUCAGGUGCGAAAGCGUGGGGAGCAAACAGGAUUAGAUACCCGAGUAGUCCCUGUCUCUUAUAC